GGACUGCUGAGGAGUCCCACAAUGGGACGAGACGGCCGUUCAGUGC
rnacentral:hammerhead_ribozyme from 1 species